rnacentral:rRNA from 1 species
GACGUAGGGCGCGAGCGUUGUCCGGAUUUAUUGGGCGUAAAGAGCUCGUAGGCGGUCUGUCGCGUCUGCUGUGAAAUCCCGAGGCUCAACCUCGGGCUUGCAGUGGGUACGGGCAGGCUAGAGUGCGGUAGGGGAGAAUGGAACUCCUGGUGUAGCGGUGGAAUGCGCAGAUAUCAGGAAGAACACCGAUGGCGAAGGCGGUUCUCUGGGCCGUAACUGACGCUGAGGAGCGAAAGCGUGGGGAGCGAACAGG